UAACCUGCCUUGGAUGGGAAUAACAGCUGGAACAGCUGCUAAUACCGCAUAAUGCAGUUGGGUCGCAUGGCUCUGACUGCCAAAGAUUUAUCGCUCUGAGAUGGACUCGCGUCUGAUUAGCUAGUUGGUGGGGCAACGGCCCACCAAGGCGACGAUCAGUAGCCGGACUGAGAGGUUGGCCGGCCACAUUGGGACUGAGACACGGCCCAGACUCCUACGGAAGGCAGCAG
rnacentral:rRNA from 1 species